GUGCUCACAUGGGCAGCACCUAUACUAAAAUUGAAAUUAUACAGAGAUUAGCAUGGCCCCUGUGCAAGAAUGACAUGCAAAUUCAUGAAGCAUUUAACAUUAAA
ensembl:snRNA U6 U6 spliceosomal RNA